rnacentral:piRNA from 1 species
UUCUUUGGAGGUGUAGUGCCACAUUAACCC